rnacentral:rRNA from 2 species
CCACCCUUUAAUGUUUGAUGUUCUAACGUGGACCCGUAAUCCGGGUUGCGGACAGUGUCUGGUGGGUAGUUUGACUGGGGCGGUCUCCUCCUAAAGAGUAACGGAGGAGCACGAAGGUUGGCUAAUCCUGGUCGGACAUCAGGAGGUUAGUGCAAUGGCAUAAGCCAGCUUGACUGCGAGCGUGACGGCGCGAGCAGGUGCGAAAGCAGGUCAUAGUGAUCCGGUGGUUCUGAAUGGAAGGGCCAUCGCUCAACGGAUAAAAGGUACUCCGGGGAUAACAGGCUGAUACCGCCCAAGAGUUCAUAUCGACGGCGGUGUUUGGCACCUCGAUGUCGGCUCAUCACAUCCUGGGGCUGAAGUAGGUCCCAAGGGUAUGGCUGUUCGCCAUUUAAAGUGGUACGCGAGCUGGGUUUAGAACGUCGUGAGACAGUUCGGUCCCUAUCUGCCGUGGGCGCUGGAGAACUGAGGGGGGCUGCUCCUAGUACGAGAGGACCGGAGUGGACGCAUCACUGGUGUUCGGGUUGUCAUGCCAAUGGCACUGCCCGGUAGCUAAAUGCGGAAGAGAUAAGUGCUGAAAGCAUCUAAGCACGAAACUUGCCCCGAGAUGAGUUCUCCCUGAGACUUAG